AUGAAGGAUGUGCCAAACUUAAUGACCAGGGAAAGAAAAGUAGACAAAGUAAAGGUGUGUGGUGAGCCAGUCUUUAUCUGUACCCAGACCAUGUGGUCGAUGAACAUGACACCCUACUUCCUGUUUGGGAGGAGUCACACAGGAACCAGUUACUAUGGGAAUCCAUGCCUCUUGCCUCUCUCCAGUCUGCUCUGGGUGUUCCUGGCUUUCACCUUCUCUGGAUCUAGUGUGGCCCAGAAAGUUACUCAAUAUCAGCCAGGCAUAACCAGUCAAGUGCAGAACGUAGUCAUCCUGAACUGUCGGUAUGAAACAAGUUGGAACGUGUACACCUACUGGAUAUUUUGGUACAAGCAGCUUCCCAGGGGAGAGAUGACUUACCUCAUUCAUCAGUAUUCAGAAGAUGGGAAUGAAAGGGAUGGCCACUACUUUGUAAACUUCCAGAAAGCACAUAAGUUCAUCAGGCUUACCAUUUCAUCCUUAAAGCUGGAACAUUCUGGAAAAUACUUCUGUGCUCUCUGGGAAUGCACAGUGCUUGAAGUAAUAGGAAAAGCUGAACAAAAACCCCAGAGGUUAAUAAGAGAGAGCCUCCCUGCUGUGGGACCCAGGUUGAAAUAUACAGCUGCAGACCCCAGACAAGAAAUAGUAGUCCCGUGGUUCUUUAAUCUGUGAUCUGGAUCAGAAGAUUUGAUUCUAAAUAAAAGGAUCAGAAGAUUUGAUUCUAAA